AAACCACAAGGGGAGCCGAAGCUCCCCCAGAAUUAGUUACGUGCUCUAUUUUUAUUAUUGGUUUCGGGCUUCUUGUUUUUGUUGAGUGCCCACGCCACAAGGUUUUUUCCUUUGUGACCCUCCCAAUCGGGAGCCAAGAGCAAACGGAUUGCUUUGGUCGCUGUGUUGCAGUGAUCAAUCGAUCCAACCAGUUCAGGCACCUGUCUUGAGACAGUU
rnacentral:misc_RNA from 1 species